AUGGAUGGAGCCGGGGGAUGGAUGGAGCCGGGGGCCGGGCGCUGCCGGCCGCGGGCAGGGCUGGGGAAGGGCUCUCGCCCUCGCUGUGCCAGCGCUUACACUCGCCUGCCCCGCCGGACACUUGCGCAGCAGUGCUUUCACAUUAUGUCCCGAUAAACGUGUUCCCGAAAAUGCGAUGUUGUUCGGGAGGUUGUGAGCACCUGAAGGCGAUAGAAAGGACGCGACCCUUCCGCCCCGAUGGCAUCGGGAGCGCACUGCCCUCCGCUCUGCUGGACAAGGACGCGUCUGUCAAAACCUCCAUCACCUCAGCGUUCAGCUCAGUUCCUUUGUCUGAUCAAAACACAAGAGUCUGCUACAUUUUUAGUAUUAAAUAAUAGCAAAAAAAAAAAAAAUCACUGCAGGCAAGCACGGUGAUGAUAAAGGAUGUGUACUGGCCCACCUUUGCUCUUUUUCUUACCAUGAUACAAAGUAUAUUCAAAAAAUUACCAUAAAUGUUAAUAAAUUAUAAAAGCAGAUCUCAACCUAUUGGAAUCAGUGUAGAUUUAUACCUUGGAAAUACUAUUUGAAGACCAAAGGCAUAGUCCAAAACAAAAAUUAGUGGUGAAAGUAAGAUUCAUGUAUUUUGAGUUCCACAUAUAUAACCAUCAAAGAGACACCUCAUUUUUUAUUCUAAAUGUCUCUAUGGACUUAACAGAUGUUCUUUUUGGACCUAUAGAGAACAGGAGAAAAGGGGAGAAAGAAUGGGAAAACCUGACCUGGGCUACUACAGCUCUAAGAAGUGUGUGCUGUUAUUCAGAACCCAGGGCAGAAAUCAGAGCCUACAUUAUUCUCCCAGGUGCCUUUAUGAUUAAUUGGGAGAGCUCAUUCCUUCUGGAUCAGACUGCACAGACAGCAGGAAUGGAGAGCAAACCAAAUAAAAAGACUGGGUCCUUGGUCUGAAGGAACUCCUGCAUCCCAGGGGCUCAUGAAAGCAGCAGCUGGGAACUAAAAAUGCAUGCAGAGAUUCACCAGAGAACAAAAAUGUUUUGAAUGCAGACAGGAUGACCAUGUUACUGCACAUCCUUGAACAGCCUCUGCUCCCUCCUCCAAGAGCAAGAACAGACCACUGCUGCUGUCACCUCACCACAUCAGCUGAAAGCAAGCAGUGACAUGACUGGGAUGAUCCUGAAAAUACAUACAUCUUCAGACCCUGGACAUUUUCAACAGCUCAUCAAUAAUACCUCAAAUUCAGCUGGCAAGUAUUUGGGCAAAAUUCUACAGCACCUCUGCAGAAGACAACAGCUUUCUGAAUUGUUCCUAACCUUAAUUCCUUCAGUAGCUCUUCCUAGAUAUUUAGAGAGCUCUUUUAUGGUCUCAGUAACUCCCUGUCUGUAUCUGCCCAUCUGUACCUCCUUUUCCCUGUCUCCUAAUUGUCUGUAGGAAAUUAUCAUGAGGUUAGAAACCCAUCUUCCCCAAACCAGCACCAAUUUUAUAUUUCAAAAUCCACGUAGCCAAUGCCACGUGGAACAGAAACAAAGACAGUUCACUGCAGUACCAGCCCACCCCUGCAGUCAAAGGGAGGGAGGUCCCGUCUCAGAAAGCCGCCUUAAACCACAGGAACUUCUUUUGAGACCUUUUUCACGUCCUUCAACUACUCUUCAUCUCACUGUCCUUAAAAAAAAAACUAGUCUCUGCAGUUCCAGUGUUUUUCCUCUCUUUAAAGUUAUCUCACCUUCCAUUUAGGCCUCAAAAGCCAUUCUUUCAUUCUGGAGCCCCACUAGAUUACCUUUUCCACAAAGGCUGAAAUGGAGAAGUGCUGUUUACAUGAAACUUCCUUCCCUAACCUUGUAACACUGAAAUUAUUCAUUAUGCAUUAUUUAAAACAAAAGAAAUAUAACAAGAUUGACGUGUGGAAAGCCACAGACAGAGAUUUUCAACAAUUCCCCAGCAGCAGCAUUCCAAGAAUAAAAUAAAAUCAUCAUGCAAGGAUCCCAAGUCCCUUACCUCAAUAAAGACCAUGGUUUUCUAACAGUUUUCUGGGCAAAAUCAGAUAUUCCCCAUGUAUUUUCAAUAGCAGCAGUCAUUAGUUGUUUGUUAUAAAGAAUGAAUUGAUUCAUCUCCCAUUCCAGCUUUUCCUCUCAAAUGUCUUUCUUGCUGCAUAAAUUUUGUCCUCCCUUUGUGCAGUAAUUCCCGAGCAGUGAUUUCACUGCCUGAGUCAAGUGGAUAUAAACUACAAAAUUAAGUAAAAGGUUUUGGUUUUUUCUUAUAUCAUGGAUCUAAUUUAUUAAUCAAAGUAGUUACAUGAGUUCAUUUUUGAGACUAGAUUAGUAAAAGACCUUUGAGAUAGUAAGUAAUACCAAUUUUUCCAGUUAAAUUAUUUACCUGGUGUAAUUUCUUAAAAGAUAAUACUAGUUUUGAAUUAUAAGUUCAACACAUAUCAGUAUUUUACAUGAAUCAAAAGUAGCUAAAAAUAGAUGUUUGCUACUAUAAAAUAAUACUAACAGAAAUUGAUAUUCAAAUUAAUUUUUAAAAAAUCCCUUGUCAUAGGAAAAAAACCUUCUUCAGAUAUAUUUAGUUUAGAUGCCUGAAGUUGUUUAAAUUUGACCACAAGCCAAUGAAACGCUAACAUUAAACUAGAAUUAAUUUUUCUUAUUUUUCAAAAAAAAAAAAACCUCAAUAGGGACAUGAAAGUCCAUCUGGCAAUAACAUGGCAUUAAACUGUGCAUCACAUUGUCUCACUUAUUAUAUGUCUGCAAGCCUGUAAUAAGGCCUCUUAAGUACUUCAACCCUAAUAAGAACUCUUCCAUAGACAAUUUAUUUCCAAAGAAUAAAGCUAAAUGGCACUGAAAUUCUA